rnacentral:rRNA from 1 species
AACGAACGCUGGCGGCAGGCUUAACACAUGCAAGUCGAACGCAUCCUUCGGGGUGAGUGGCAGACGGGUGAGUAACGCGUGGGAACGUGCCCUUCAGUUCGGGAUAACCCAGGGAAACUUGGGCUAUACCGGAUACGUGCGAGAGCAGAAAGAUUUAUCGCUGAAGGAUCGGCCCGCGUCGGAUUAGCUAGUUGGUGGGGUAAUGGCCCACCAAGGCGACGAUCAGUAGCUGGUCUGAGAGGAUGAUCAGCCACAUUGGGACUGAGACACGGCCCAAACUCCUACGGGAGGCAGCAGUGGGGAAUAUUGGACAAUGGGCGCAAGCCUGAUCCAGCCAUGCCGCGUGAGUGGUGAAGGCCUUAGGGUUGUAAAGCUCUUUCGUCCGGGACGAUAAUGACGGUACCGGAAGAAGAAGCCCCGGCUAACUUCGUGCCAGCAGCCGCCGUAACAC